GAUUCUUCCCAAUUCUACCGCCAUCAUUCUGGUUCAAGCUACCUGUAGAGACGGGGUUUCACCAUGUUAGCCAGGAUGGUCUCGAUCUUCUGACCUCGUGAUCCAUCCGCCUCAGCCUUCCAAAGUGCUGGGAUUACAGACGUGAGCCACCGCGCCCGGCCAAAAGAUCCAUAAACUUUGAGUCACCAGAUAGAGCUAACAUUUACCACAGAGGCAUGUAAAGAAAACGAUUCUAGCAGAGUAACUAUAAUACAAAAGAACAAUAUUCCAAUUAUGUUCCUAUGUUCUAUCUAGGAAGGUUUAAGAGGAGCCUUUUAAACUGAACUAUAUUCUAAGAGGUGGGAAAAACGGUUUUCUUUUGUUUUUCUUAUUAACCGUACCUUGAAAGCCCCAAAUAAAUGUUCCUUGGUUUAGAUGCCCUGGUAGAUGACCAAAAAAGUUUGACCAGUUAUCAAAAUCUACAAAGACUAUAUGAGUCAUGGUUCGCAGGUAAUCCAAAUCUGGAAGCUCAACAAUUUCUUCCUCUGGGAAGAGAGAAAUAUCAACAUGAGUUCAGUAAGAAUUUGCUAAAAUCAUUCUGAUUUCAAGUCCAAAAAAUAUUAGAAGGCUAAUAUGCAAAAAUACUAACCUUGAAUGUUACUCAUUUCUAUCUAACCUUUUUGUGAAAUCCAAAUCUGUACAUGACACCAUUUACACUUAAAUCAGAUAAAAAUAAUCUGAACAUUUCA
rnacentral:antisense_RNA from 1 species